AUGCCUUUGACCAAUGGUUUCUCACAAUUUCCUUUCCCCCACUCCUAUUGGCCAGCCUGCCAACCACUCAUUUGCCUUGAAAUUUAGCCAGGUAGAGCUGGUUACUUUUGGGAGGUCUUGAUGGGUGAUGGUCAUGGCUACCCACAGGUAAGAGAAAAUGAGAUUACCUCAGCAUAUAGAUUUAAGAGGAAGGUGUGAGGAUGAAGGGCAGAGAGGUCAGCUCUAGAAAUGGGUAUUGGCCCAAGAAUUAGGCAAGACUCUUCUCAAACUUUAUGAUCUUUCAUUGGCCGUUAUGUUUUAGUUCAAGAGCUAGCACUGCCCAGUCCUUCAAGAUGAUCUACUUUGGGGGUCUCAGUGGGUCUAGUCAAGCCACGUUCCUAGGCUUGCUUACACAACCAAGAUUCAGAGGUGGGCUUAUCCCAGAUUGAGAGCAUACCUUUUGGAGUGUUUGGCAUAAACCCGUUUGCUGACAAUCUCCAAUUAUUUAGAGGGUAUGUGUCCCCAGAAUAACAAGCCUAGUUAGGUAGACAUGCACUCCAAUAAUAUUUAUAUGUGUGGAAGGUAGACCUUGACUGAUAGAUUUUCAUACCCAGCAUGUGCUAUAUUUGGGGUUUAUGAAGGACUCUUCCUACGCAGUGAAACUGGUUUGUGGUUGGGUGCUAGACAACCCAGAACUGAGAUCCCUCAGCAUGGUUUUUGGAACUGUGAUCAGAUACCUAGCCUGACGUUGUCUGUUUAAGCUGCUCUUUGCUGUUUUCCUUCCUGCUUCUCCGAUGUGAUAGAAUGCAGGAGGAUGAGUUGAAUGGCUUUGAAUGCCUGCAGUGAUGUGGAGUGUUAUGUCUGGAUAUCAAAACAAUCAUUGCAUGCAUGAAGAACGCAGGCGAUGGUUGCACCAGCAACUGAGCUUUUCUUAUGGCUCAGAACCACCAGCAUGGAGCAGAUCCCAUGGGAUCCUGCGGAAUGCACAAUACACCUUACAUAAAAAGCACUGGUGCCAUUAAGUUUAGGGAUAAGGUCCGGCUGCUAUUCAAGGGUAGAGAGGCAUGACACUGUUGUGACUAAUGGCAUUGUGUAUCUUGGGCACCAUCUCGUUUGAAGGAGGACAUUGCAAAUGGAACAUGGCCACAUCUUUCCCCAGAGAAGAGUGUUUGUAACCUUAUUGGUUGCAAGUAACAUGCCUGUUACAACCCUGUCUCCCCAGCUUUACAAAGCAGCCCAUUCAGACUAAUGAAAACAAGAACAGAGUUUUCAGCCACACAAUAAUCACCACUGCUUAGUAAGGAUUGCCUGUGAGAUUAUAGUGAGAAGAGUUAAAUGAUCCUUAUUUAUAAAAGGAUUUCCCAGUUUUUUCCUGUUCCCCAGCUCUCAGGGGUUACCAUGACAAAACUCUAGCUUUAAGCAUCAAUUAUUGUAAAUAAGAUGCCUGACCAAUCGCGAUACAGAUGGAUAUUCCAUUUCAUACAUGAUUCUAAGCCCUCAUUUGAUAUCCUGCUUCCUUGUGGAUACACAGUCAGAUGUUGCUUUGGGUUGCAGUAUGAUUCAUGCUGUCCUCACAGCACAGGUGCUUUCUGACAAGUAUAAUUUAAGGCCAGAACCACCCAAGGAACAAGCAUUCUCAGAACAUGAAUGGUGUUAUUUCAAGUGAGUGGAAAACCCAUUGCCUGGCUUAGCUUCGAAAAGCCAGUGUGUCUCAAUUACUGCAACUCCUUUUUAGAGCCCGAGUCUUGCUAAGAUGCCAGUCCUACAUCCUGCAGGAUAUCCUGUGCUUAAUCGGAGAGGCGCUUGGGCAAUCUGUUGGGGAGAAGCACUCCGCUUCCUUGAGAGGAACCAGGAGUUCACACCCAGAAUUGGAAAAUGUUUUGCCCAAUGAUUCAGGUUGCUCAGAGAGAGGAUGGCAGGCCUGGACAUGACCUGGAGCUUUAAGCCAAAUGCUAAGUGUAUAUAUUUCAAUGUCCGUGCCAGAUGGUUUCUAACGUCAUGCAAGAUAACAGUAUUCUUUGGCAGUCAUCUGAAAACAUUGUAGCAGGGCACGCUGCCUUGAACUUUCAUGCGUAAUUGCAAAGAUUUACAUAAUUGUACAUUGAAAGAAGAGGAUCGUUCUAGUACACAGUGACGUUAUUCUAGGUCUUGCCCCUGUGCCAAAACAGCUCUCCUUGUCUCUUCAAGGAAUUCCUCACCCCCACUAAAGAAAAUUCCUGAGCUAGUUUAAAUCACCUAAGUGCUGAAGUCAAGGCUCCUGGAAUAGGUAGUGGAAAAAGGCAAGCAAACUCACACUGAGUUUUGCAAGCUGUGGCUAGCUUCUCUCGCGACAGCUUGCCAAAGUGUCACUGGAAGGGGGGGUGCAUUUGAAAGAGAGAAAAGAAACAGAAUAAUCCAAGCUUAAGGGAUCUAUGGCAUCAGAAGUGCUGCCACAUGAGCAUGGACAUAACCUGAUUCUCCUGGAUCAGGCAAGACCCCAUAUUUCUCCACCUUUAACGGUUGAGAUGGAUCAUAUGACACAAAAUAAAGUUUAAGCACCUAAGAGCCCACUUGGAUCAGUCCAAUAUCCUAUCUAGUCCAGCAUCCUCUGCCCUCAGGUGCCAACCAGAGAAAUACACAGAGACCAUGAGUGCAGCAGCCAGCACUAUUGUUCCCCAAUAACUCAGAGGCAUGGGGUAAUUAAACGAGUGAUGGCCAAUUCACAACAUUUGUGAAAUCAACAACAGUUUGAGCUCCUAUUGUGAAUGUUCCGACUUAGUGUUCAUUUCAUAAUACAUCAGGUUUGGGUUUUUUGUUGAGUUUUGUGGUAUUUUAUACAUACAUCUUUUUGUUGUUUUGUUGCUGUUAAACUAUGACAGUUCUAAUAUCCACCCCUAAGCUUGGUUUCACCGCAUCCUUUUUAUUUUAUUUUAUGAGAACCAACAAAGCACAACGUGUUAGAGCUGGAAAGAACAUCGCAAAUGACUUGGCCCAGCUAGAAUUGCUCUGUUAUCCUUUAUAUAACACCAGGAAUGUGCCUGGUUCUUGUCACAUAGUUAAAAAAACAAAAGGCAAGUCCCUCGCUCUGAGCACUCACAAUCUACAAUUUGACAGGAAGGAAGAGAGGAACCAAAUAAAACCAGCCAAUCAGGUGUUACCUAACAGACUGGUAUUGCACUUUGAACAACCGAAUGCUUCCUCGACCUUUGCAGUUUAUGCUAUUGAUUCAGGGCAGGUCCACAUAAGGGCAGAAUCUCAAGUUCAAUUGAGAGGUAAAUUCACAGUUUGUCAACUGAAGAUGUCUCCAAAUAGCAAAGGAACCAGGAAAAGGGUGGAAGGGAAGUCAUAUGGUACAGUGGUACCUUGGGUUAAGUACUUAAUUCGUUCCGGAGGUCCGUUCUUAACCUGAAACUGUUCUUAACCUGAAGCACCACUUUAGCUAAUGGGGCCUCCCGCUGCUGCCGCACCGCCGGUGCACAAUUUCUGUUCUCAUCCUGAAGCAAAGUUCUUAACCCGAGGUACUAUUUCUGGGUUAGCGGAGUCUGUAACCUGAAGUGUAUGUAACCUGAGGUACCACUGUAUAUGUAUACAGGCUGUAUUUGGUAUAAAGUUGUAAGUGGGGGAGGGGGAGGUGGCUUAAAUAUGCUCUCUGUUCCAGUUUUUGAAAAUGCAAAUAAAUUUUUUUUAAAAAAAAACUCUUUGCCAAACUGUUGCAGUUGUUUUGCAGAGUUUUGCAGCAAAAACGCUGCAUUUUGCUGCACCCCACCAACCGAGCAAUCAGUACGCCAACCCGGGGUCAUAGCUAUCACCUUGAAACCCAGCGUCGUCCGAUUCAUUCAAAGCCAGUGCCAAAGUGCAGCAAUGGUUUUGCAGCAAAAACCAGACGAUUGACUGCCAUCCCUUCACUGGCACCAGAUCCUUUUGAUCUGCUUGUGAUUAGUCUAUGGUCGCUUGCAGCUGCAGGAUUAACAGAACUGCUUUCAUUUCCCAGGGAUAGCGGCAGAGGCACACCGAGACUUUGGAGCAGCUGUGUCGACUGCUUGGUGCUGGCAUAAAACCCGAUCCCCUCUGGGUGUCCUGCCGCUUGGGUUUCCCUGGAAGUGAAGGAAGGUGUCCAUCCCAGGGCAGCCUUGGAAUGCUGUCCAAACCCAACUUGUGCCACCUCUGUGGAAGCACAAAAUGGUUGCUCCACCACCAGGCCUCUUUCCCACCAGAGCCCCAGCCUCAGGGAAGAAGCAGCAGCAGCAGCACAGGACUCUCCGACCCGAAACUCAGAUAUUAGACGUCUCCCAUGCCGCUCCAGUUCUGCCCAUGUCCUGCUCCGAGGAGGACCUCUCCUCUUCCUCCUCUCUGGUCUCCAACCCGCACACAAGUCCUGCUGCCAAGAGCGUGAGUACAUUCCCCAUGCAGAGUGAUUCCUCCAAGUCCAGCUCCCUCAGCGACGAUGCCAUCAGCUUGAAGACAGUGAGCAGCCUCGUCAGGACGCUUAGGCCCGAGCAAGGCCCAGUCGCAGAAGUCUUCCUCUCAGCUCCCUUUGCCUCCAAGCAGGAGUACAAGUUGCUGCAUCCUCUCCCGUUUCCCAGAGGAUUGGCCUCCUCGGCCCAGAACCCCACUUUGUGCAACGCGAGAGGCCGGCUGCUCCACGCCACCUGGCUCGCUGAAGUCUCCCUCCUCCUUGCCAGCGCCCAGACCUCUUUGCCUUGGGGUGGGGGAAAGGCAGCCAAGGGACAAGGAAGAGAACUUUGAGCAGCAGCUGUCCCACAUGGAGGCCAGGCUGAAGGCUGUGCAGGAGCAGCAAACGCUGUGGCUGCAGGAGCUGGUGCCGGCUGUGCGACGUGUUCGCUCGGAGCUUGCCAACAUCGGUCAGAGCCUGGGCAGGCUAGUGCAAAUGUUUGAAGCGCAGGUGCCCGCCUGCCCACACUUCCAUGCCACCCAGGAGAAGGGAGCGGCCAAAGCUGAGGGCAGCAGAGCAGGAGGCAAGCACCUGUUCCACCCCACCUUCACCCAUCGCCCCUGCCAGGAAAUAUAAAAGGAACCCUAGCCCUGUAUGGACGCAGAGCAGUUUCCAUUAUAUACAGAACAAUGGUUUCAAAGUU